rnacentral:lncRNA from 1 species
ACAACUCCUUAUCAAUCUCGACUUCUUUUAAUAUGAACAACAAUUCAACCUAUUUAAUUGACUAGUAUAUAACAAUAUGGAACAAAGAAAUAUAUUGGUACUAGAUUGACCUAAGUCUUUCUAUUUAUACAACAGGAAUUCAAACAGAAUUGAAGGAAAAUGAUGUGAUAAGACAGAACAAAAUUUUAUUUGAAUUCCAAGUUUUAAUAGAAAUUUUUUAUU